UUUGCCUACGGGAGGCAGCAGUGAGGAAUAUUGGUCAAUGGGCGCGAGCCUGAACCAGCCAAGUCGCGUGAGGGAAGACGGUCCUAUGGAUUGUAAACCUCUUUUGUCGGGGAGCAAAGAGAGUCACGUGUGGCUCAUUGAGAGUACCCGAAGAAAAAGCAUCGGCUAACUCCGUGCCAGCAGCCGCGGUAAUACGGAGGAUGCGAGCGUUAUCCGGAUUUAUUGGGUUUAAAGGGUGCGCAGGCGGAGGUGCAAGUCAGUGGUCAAAUUGCGGGGCUCAACCCCGUACUGCCGUUGAAACUGCA
rnacentral:rRNA from 1 species